rnacentral:rRNA from 1 species
AUAUUGGACAAUGGGCGCAAGCCUGAUCCAGCAAUGCCGCGUGUGUGAAGAAGGCCUUCGGGUUGUAAAGCACUUUAAGCAGGGAAGAAAAAACUCGAGCUAACAUCUUGAGUCUUGACGGUACCUGAAGAAUAAGCACCGGCUAACCCUGUGCCAGCAGCCGCGGUAAUACAGAGGGUGCAAGCGUUAAUCGGAUUUACUGGGCGUAAAGGGUGUGUAGGUGGUUUGACAAGUCGGUUGUGAAAUCCCCGGGCUCAACCUGGGAACUGCUUCCGAGACUGUUUGACUAGAGUACGGUAGAGGGCGGUGGAAUUUCCGGUGUAGCGGUGAAAUGCGUAGAUAUCGGAAGGAACACCAAUGGCGAAGGCAGCCGCCUGGGCCUGUACUGACACUGAAACACGAAAGCGUGGGGAUCAAACAGG